rnacentral:rRNA from 1 species
CAGUCGCCGCGGGAACACGUAGGGUGCGAGCGUUAAUCGGAAUUACUGGGCGUAAAGCGUGCGCAGGCGGUUGUGCAAGACAGAUGUGAAAUCCCCGAGCUUAACUUGGGAACUGCAUUUGUGACUGCACGGCUAGAGUGUGUCAGAGGGGGGUAGAAUUCCACGUGUAGCAGUGAAAUGCGUAGAUAUGUGGAGGAAUACCGAUGGCGAAGGCAGCCCCCUGGGAUAACACUGACGCUCAUGCACGAAAGCGUGGGGAGCAAACAGGAUUAGAUACCCCCGUAGUCCCUGUCUCUUAUAC